rnacentral:lncRNA from 1 species
UUACUUUCCUUUUAUUUACAAAAAUGCUACGUGCGGCCUAACUUGUUUUUUAAAAGAAUAACCAAAAUAAUGCAGUUUUAAUAAAAGAAUGAUAUUUAAGAGAGAGUGCUAUUUAAGAUGAGUGUUUUAGAUCCGUCAUAUAUAUAUAUAUAUAUAUAUAUAUAUAUAUAUAUAAUGAUCCAUAUCAUCUAUUUUCUAUGGACAUAUAAGAUCUCUACCUUCUGUUACAUUAAUGGUGAACGGCUUGGAUUAAAAUUUUGGAUGCGUCAUCCGCUAGUCUAGCGGAUGGAAUAAAAAGUUUUUUUGGAUAAAUAUGCCCCUUUUAGCCCAAACAGACGAAGCAGUCUUGGAAAUCAAAGGUUUAUGAGCUACAUGGCCCUGGUAAAUAUUUUCUUCAUUCACUUUUCUUCUUUAUCCACUGACUGCAAACUUCAACAACGAACAGCAUGGGAUCGACCUGUUAACUGAAGAGAUGCAAGGUUGAGAUGACUUCUGAGGCAUUGAAGUAUGAAUGAUCUCUUAAGUUCUUUCACUCUCUUGAUAUUUCAAUUUGGAUGCCGGAAUUGAUUCUUUGGGUGAGUUGGUAAGGAACCUCAUUAUGAAGUAAAUCAUGUUUGCAGAAACUUGGUGAAGUGUUU